UUUCUUUUUUUAAAAAAAAAGAAAAGGAUAAAGGUGGCUUUUUUCUUUUUUAUAACACCUUCUCAUGAUCAAAUGAAAAAGGAGAAGAUGGUAGUUUGGGAGCAUAUAGGACAGUAUGAUUGGGGUAGCUAGCUGGGACUUGAAAUGAUGAUUGAAUGAUUUCUUUUGUUGUGAAUAUGAUAUCACCUUAAUGAGUUUUGAUUUUUUAAGUACUAUGAUAGACCCUCUUUUGAUUUAGAUGAUGGGCUUAGGUCCCAUGUAAUAAUGAUGCUUUUUCUAUUUCUUUUUUCUUCUGUUUCAUCCAUUGGGUCUUUUGGCUAAAUGCAACAAUUCCAAUUUUAAAGAUUAUCUAUAAUUGCAGUUAUUUCCUUGUCG
rnacentral:misc_RNA from 1 species